CUCCCCCCAAGCAUUGACCACGUGGCUAGACACCCCCACGGCCAAGCUCCACCCCUGAGCUUCAGCCCUUCAAGCCUCCGGUCGCCUAGUAACCGGCACACACCUAGGCCCUUCGCAGCCAGUGAUCCAGGCCAUGCCCUAAUGUCGCCUCAUCCCUCCUCUGUAUCUCAAAAGUCACAUGUUAGCCUCCUGCUUAUCCGGCCUCAGAGGCUGGGUGUUCCUACAACGACAGCCUCUAUACCCUAUUACACCCUCAUCACUAGGCCACGCCCCAGCAGAGGCCUCUUUCUCCGCCCACACAGCGAGCCUCAAAUCAAAGUCCCCGUAACCUGAUCGAGGCUCCUCCCCCAGAUGAAGGCCUGUGACCCCACCCCCUAGCCCACACUUGAUCUCUCUUCCCCCCCCAGAUCCCUCCCUUAACAUGUGAAACCUACGAGCCCUCCUCCCUCUGCAGUCCCAAGAUUCCGCCCCCAUCCGCACCUCCCCAAUCGGACCCGGGCCACUCUCCGGGUGAUGCCUAUGGCUCCGCCCACAGGCGUGGGCCCGCCCACAGUCCCUAGACUAUCGGGCAUUCGGGACCCAGAUUCUACCUGGGCCUCCGGCCUUGUCAGUCACUGCUCACGGAAAGGCCGGGUCCGUGCGGCCCACCCAGCGCCUAGCCCCGCCCCAAACCUUCCAAUCGGCGGCCAAAGGCUCUCAGCCCCUCAACCCUGCUCCGCACCGGCCGACCCCCUUCCGGAGGCUUGGAUCAUAGAGAGGACCCGCGGGCCAGAGAGCCCGCAACCUAACGAGACUCUCUAGCUAGAGCGGCCAGCCCAGGGUACCUACGAAUCUCCACGGCAACCAAGCGGUGAAAACAGGCAGGUGCUGAAGGCGGGGCUAUGGCUUCCGGGGGUGUGGCUCCGUCCCGCUAGAUCCCAGAAAGUCUCCAAGAUCCUCAUCCCCUCAUCCCCUCGCCGGAGAUGCCUAGCUCCCGCCCAGGGCCCGCCUGUGCUGGAGCUUGCCUGAUGCGGCUUGUCCUAGAUCCAAGCCCCGAGGCUUCUCAGCAUUCCAGACUCUGAGUCUAAAUUCACACCCGGGGUUGUGGGGGAGUGCUGCAGAGGCCUCAGUCUUGGAGAUAAGGAGCCCCAAACCCCAAUUCUACCUCCUAAACCUUAACAAGUCACAUCCUAGAACCCCAGAGCACACCAUCAGCUCCCAUCCUUCCUCUACAUGAGCCUUCCUUGCACGCCAGUGGCUCCCCCAAGAGAACCUACGGCACCCCAGAAUCCCUUGUUGUUCCCCAGGGGCAAGAUACCCCUGAGCCCUGUUAGCAUUCCAGAAUCCUAAGCACCUAUCCAGAGGCGCUCCAGUCCCUAGCACCCUGCUGGGAUGCCCCCACCCUUGCUGUCAAGCAGACCUUCUGAGGCUUGCAGACCCCUGGCCCUCGCUGCUCCCUCGCGGGCUCUCGCAGAAGACUGGACUGGGAACUUCUGAGCUCAGGCCUAGCUGGUAAAGACACUGAAUGAAGCCGGCCCCCCAGCUGGGAUUCAGCCCUACCGCCAGCCCUCCUCCUUGCUCGGGCCUCCUCCUGUUUCGAUGUUCCUGGAACAUCUCCUGUGCCCUUUGCCCCACUUCCGCCUCUCCCCAGACUGUGCCCUAUACUCCCUUCCUCUUUCUUCUCCCCUCCUCUUCUCCUACUUUAUAGAGUGCUAAGUGUAAGCAUCGGGCUUUUGACCCAUCAGAUUCUCUGCACCUGCUCCCCAGUCCUUGGUCCCCAAAAUCUGAGAGACUGAUGAUGGCAGGCUGACAAGAUGGCUCUGAAGGUAAAGGCGAUUACUGU